rnacentral:rRNA from 1 species
ACGGGCUCUUCGGAGCUAGUGGCGGACGGGUGAGUAACGCGUGAGAAUCUGCCCUUUGGAGUGGGACAACGACUGGAAACGGUCGCUAACACCGCAUGAGCCGAGAGGUAAAAGUAUUUAUAGCCAAAGGAUGAGCUCGCGUCGGAUUAGCUAGUUGGUAGUGUAAUGGACUACCAAGGCGACGAUCCGUAGCUGGUCUGAGAGGAUGAUCAGCCACACUGGGACUGAGACACGGCCCAGACUCCUACGGGAGGCAGCAGUGGGGAAUUUUCCGCAAUGGGCGCAAGCCUGACGGAGCAAGACCGCGUGGGGGAGGAAGGUCUGUGGAUUGUAAACCCCUUUUGACUGGGAAGAACACAAUGACGGUACCAGUCGAAUCAGCCUCGGCUAACUCCGUGCCAGCAGCCGCGGUAAUACGGAGGAGGCAAGCGUUAUCCGGAUUUAUUGGGCGUAAAGCGUCCGCAGGUGGUUUAUCAAGUCUGCUGUCAAAGCACGGAGCUUAACUUCGUAUCGGCAGUGGAAACUGAUGAACUUGAGUGUGAUAGGGGCAGAGGGAAUUCCCAGUGUAGCGGUGAAAUGCGUAGAGAUUGGGAAGAACACCGGUGGCGAAAGCGCUCUGCUGGGUCAUAACUGACACUGAGGGACGAAAGCUAGGGGAGCGAAAGGGAUUAGAUACCCCUGUAGUCCUAGCCGUA